CCUGCGGCGGACCCAUUACUCUCUGACAGGCUGUGUCAACGGCCACGAUUCUGCUCCGCUCCCUGCGGCAGGUGCUGCACGACUCCACUACUCGCUGACAACUAGCGGCAACGGACGCCGCUCCACUACCUGCAACAGGCCCUACGUGGCGGACUAUGACAAUAGCCACGGGUCUACUCCACUACCCUUCGCAAUAAAUUCUCCUGACCAUGGGCGGCCCACUACC
rnacentral:lncRNA from 1 species